rnacentral:rRNA from 1 species
GACGUAGGGCGCAAGCGUUGUCCGGAUUUAUUGGGCGUAAAGAGCUCGUAGGCGGCUUGUUGCGUCGACCGUGAAAACCCAUGGCUCAACUGCGGGCUUGCGGUCGAUACGGGCGGGCUAGAGUUCGGUAGGGGAGACUGGAAUUCCUGGUGUAGCGGUGAAACGCGCAGAUAUCAGGAGGAACACCGGUGGCGAAGGCGGGUCUCUGGGCCGAUACUGACGCUGAGGAGCGAAAGCGUGGGGAGCGAACAGG